rnacentral:rRNA from 1 species
CCUACGGGGGGCAGCAGUGAGGAAUAUUGGUCAAUGGACGAGAGUCUGAACCAGCCAAGUAGCGUGAAGGAUGACUGCCCUAUGGGUUGUAAACUUCUUUUAUAUGGGAAUAAAACGUUCCACGUGUGGGAUUUUGUAUGUACCAUAUGAAUAAGGAUCGGCUAACUCCGUGCCAGCAGCCGCGGUAAUACGGAGGAUCCGAGCGUUAUCCGGAUUUAUUGGGUUUAAAGGGAGCGUAGGUGGAUUGUUAAGUCAGUUGUGAAAGUUUGCGGCUCAACCGUAAAAUUGCAGUUGAAACUGGCAGUCUUGAGUACAGUAGAGGUGGGCGGAAUUCGUGGUGUAGCGGUGAAAUGCUUAGAUAUCACGAAGAACUCCGAUGGCGAAGGCAGUUCACUGGACUGCAACUGACACUGAGGCUCGAAAGUGUGGGUAUCAAACAGGAUUAGAUACCCGUGUAGUC